rnacentral:rRNA from 1 species
UACGUAGGCAGCAAGCGUUGUUCGGAGUUACUGGGCGUAAAGAGUGCGUAGGUGGUGCCCUAAGUCUGUUGUGAAAUCUCCCGGCUUAACUGGGAGGGUGCGGUGGAAACUGGGGUGCUUGAGUGUGGGAGAGGUAAGCGGAAUUCCUGGUGUAGCGGUGAAAUGCGUAGAUAUUGGGAGGAACACCAGUGGCGAAGGCGGCUACCUGGACCGGUUCUGACGCUGAUGCGCGAAAGCGUGGGUAGCAAACAGG